UAGGAGAAGGAAAUGGCAACCCACUCCAGUAUUCUUGUCUGGAGAAUCCCUGGUAGGCUACAGAGAAGCCUGGUAGGCUAUAGUCCAUGGGGUCGCAAAGAAGUGACUCAGCACGCACAUACUACUGUUCAUAUUACAACUUUAACUACGAGUUGCGGUCAGUGAUUCUUAGACAUAGUAGCUUUAUAGUGGAAGAUUUCUUUGACGGUAAAAUCAUAGUGCUUAUUUUAAAGGAUUGGAUGAAAUCUGAGGACUGUCUUUAUUUCUCAAUAGUUUUCUCAACUAUUAAAUGGAAAUACUACCUACCUCAUAGACUUUGGAAGACCUCAUAAGAAUUUGAAAAAGUAAUAUUAGGUACUGGGAACAGUGUCUGACACAUUAAGUACUCAGUACAUAUUAAGAUAUUGUUACUUAUCUACUGCCUGUGAAUAUCUCUACCUUAAACCUUAGGAUAACAGACAAGCUUUCUUGCAGGGAGGAAUAAAACUACGUUUGUUCUCUGAACAAACAAAAAGAGGUAUUGCUUCUAAGCAUAUUUUUCUUAGCAGCUUGCAUAUAGCAAUAGCUGUUUUGAAGCACAUACUCAAGGUCUGUGCUUGUUUCAAAGAAAGCUCACCAUGUGUUGGGAGUUUGGCAGAUGACUCAGUUCUGAUCAUUUUAUGUCCACUUUCUCUCAUUUUUCUUCUGAAAUGCACAAGCAGCACGGCAUCGUUUUCUCUCUUCUUCUCCAUCUUCUCUUCCCCCUCUACGCCCCCUACCCGUCUUUCCCUUCAACACGUGCACACAAGCACACACGUUAGUUUUCUCUUAUUUAUUUAUUUUUUUUAAUCCCCAGGGGACUCACGGAACAGUCUGUGUGCAGCUGCUGUGUUUUCCACUUGUUAAAUUGGCAGUUACCUACUGCGUAGAGUUGCUAGGAGAAGGUGAAUCAGCAUGAUUGGAGCAUCAUCGGUGUACACAUUUUUUUCAAUAACAACCUGUGGAGCUCUGUGGCCUGCCUUCUGUGUGGCUCUUAUGUUAUUUUCCUCAUUGUUGUCACUAAUAUUUGUUGAAUUUAUCAUUAGAGCCUUGUAUGUUUUUAACUCUUUAAAUUCCAGAUCAACUGAGAGACAAAAACCUUGGCAUUUAAACCAGCCACUUUUUUCUCAGGGUGGUGCUGCGGAUACUGGUUCCUACCAUCUGUUUUCUUAUUACAUCCAGCCUUCCUUCCAUUGGUAGAGAGGAAUUCAGCUUCUUCUGGAGUAUCAUCAUGGGGUCUACUGCUACNNNNNNNGAAGAAGUGGAAAACACUACUUUUAAGUAUCUCAUAGGAGAACAGACUGAAAAAAUGUGGCAACGCCUGAAAGGAAUGUGAGUAAGCUCUUUGCUUGGUUCUGUGUUUUUAUCCACCUCUCUGAUAAAAAAUUUUGAGUAUUAACAUGUUGAAUUAUUGGCACUCUCUGAUUGUGCAUUAGUGGUUUCUUUAGAAAGAUUUUCUUUUUAAAAAAUGUGUCAGUCUCAGCUAACAACUUGCUUGAAGGGUGAAUAGUUUUUUGUGUAGGUAUAUUUUAUGUAAAGUAAGGUAACUCCCUGAGAAUUCACUUCAUUGUUAGACUGCAUGGCUUCUUUUAUACAUUCUGUAUGUGUUACUUAGAUACGUGGCUUAGAUAUGCAGAAAAGUAAUUAGAAAAGCUGCUUGCCAGGGUACUUGCGGAAAUAAAAUUUCUCUAAGAUAAAAAGAGAGAUUGCUAUUAGCACUUAUUUCUUUGUGGUUAGAUUUUGAAGAAAAAGGACAGGAUUAAUAUGAUAAUAGAUCAUUAUAUUCCAUUGUGCUUAUUCAUUAUGACUUAAUUAAUAAUACAUUUUAAGGAGAAAAAGUUUAUGUUGUAAAAUUACUAGCAGCACACCAAACUUGCUUGAGAGUUUUGGCUUAAAUCAACCAACUCACUUCUGAGAGUACAGAAUAGCUCAUAGUAUAAAAUAGACCUUUGUAAGAUGGGUCAAGAAGUGUGCUUAUGUCUGCAUGAAAUGUAAGUACCAGAGUCAAACUUUAAUUGCAGUGCUAUUUACCUUGCUUUUUAAACAGCAUCUAGGCUUUUUUUUCAAUGUAUGUAAAUUAUUUCUGCUUAGUGUUCCAGCACACUAUGUUUAUAUGCUUUAUUUUCAUUAUGUCAUAAUGGUAAAAUCAGAUUUAAUAUUUGGAUAAAAAUAUGAAAUAUGAAUAUUUACAGGCCAUUGCAAUUCCUUAUCAUAUUU
rnacentral:lncRNA from 1 species